AUUGAACGCUGGCGGCAGGCCUAACACAUGCAAGUCGAACGAGUGGCGGACGGGUGAGUAAUGUCUGGGAAACUGCCUGAUGGAGGGGGAUAACUACUGGAAACGGUAGCUAAUACCGCAUACCAUCGGAUGUGCCCAGAUGGGAUUAGCUAGUAGGCGGGGUAAAGGCUCACCUAGGCGACGAUCCCUAGCUGGUCUGAGAGGAUGACCAGCCACACUGGAACUGAGACACGGUCCAGACUCGUACGAGAGGCAGCAAUGGGGAAUAUUGCACGAUGGAAGCGAGCCUGAUGCAGCCAUGCCACAUGUAUGAAGAAGGCCUUCGGGUUGUAAAGUACUUUCAGCGGGGAGGCGUUACCCGCAGAAGAAGCACCAGCUAACUCCGUGCCAGCAGCCGCGGUAAUAC
rnacentral:rRNA from 1 species